ACUCCUACGGGAGGCAGCAGUAGGGAAUCUUCCACAAUGGGUGCAAACCUGAUGGAGCAAUGCCGCGUGAGUGAAGAAGGUCUUCGGAUCGUAAAGCUCUGUUGUUAGAGAAGAACACGUGCUAGGUAACUACUAGCGCCUUGACGGUAUCUAACCAGAAAGUCACGGCUAACUACGUGCCAGCAGCCGCGGUAAUACGUAGGUGACAAGCGUUGUCCGGAUUUAUUGGGCGUAAAGGGAGCGCAGGCGGUCUGUUUAGUCUAAUGUGAAAGCCCACGGCUUAACCGUGGAACGGCAUUGGAAACUGACAGACUUGAAUGUAGAAGAGGAAAAUGGAAUUCCAAGUGUAGCGGUGGAAUGCGUAGAUAUUUGGAGGAACACCAGUGGCGAAGGCGAUUUUCUGGUCUAACAUUGACGCUGAGGCUCGAAAGCGUGGGGAGCGAACAGGAUUAGAAACCCCAGUAGUCCCAUGAU
rnacentral:rRNA from 1 species